UCAUAUAAGAAAGAUAGAUGUUCUUGAAAUACCAUUUAUACCCUUUUUUUCAAAUUCUCUUCAAUUAGGCUGUCCACGUGGACAUCCUCUUUUUUCAAUUUUUUCCUUUCACUAACUCUACACUCAGAUAAUCUUUUUAUUUUCUUUCCUUUCCCUUACUCAACCUUUUGCUUGCCUUUUCAGUUUUCUUUCCUGUUGCUUUUCUCAACACCAUUUGUUACUUUUUUUUCCAUCCUAUCCUAUCAAGUCUGCAGCAGAUUGAACCUAUCAGCUUUGCUUGCAACUAUGGAUUUGGUUGAAUCGAUACAAACCACUUCUCUCUUAAAUAUCUUUCUUAAAACUAUACCAACAUUCAACUCUUUCAAAAUCUCUCUCAUUUUUUUAAACCUGUUAAUAUUUUUGUGUGUUGAAUUUGUUAUAACUUUAUUGAUUAAAGCUACUAUUUUUUCUCUUAUAUUUUCUUCUUCAGAUCUGUAGAAGAUUGUAUAUGAGAUUUUAGAUUUGGAGCUAAUAGUAGAUCAAAGGUAUCUUAUCUUCAAGUUCGGAUGAUUUUAUGAUUUAUUUUUAUUUUUAGAGCUGUAAAAAUAUUAUAGACGGAACUUUGUAAUCCAGAGAAGUUUGAUGAAUGAGCCUUUAUGAAAUUUGAUCUAUAAAAGUUUGUGGAUGAGAUAUCUAUGUUCAAGAAUGAUCAAAGGGAAUAUGAACUGAUCUAACAAGAAGAGGAUGCAGGUAUAUGUAUCUCUUUCCUUUUUAUUUAUUUUGUUUUAUAUCAAUUUUGUAUCUACAAGGAGAAUAAAUUAAUUUUUCAUGAUUUUUUUUUUUUAAGGGAACAACAGAUAAAUGCAGGUACCUCCCAUACUUUUUUAUAUUCACUUUUUAUAUUCUCCAUUAUUUUUCUAUUUUGGUUGUAAGAUUAUUGUUGAUUCUCUCAUUUGCUGACAUAAUGUAUUAAAUAAAUUGAGGUAUAUUGAUUCUCUUCUGCUUUUGGUUAAGGUUGCUUAGUGCAUCUAAUUGAUUACUAAUUAAAUUCAUUCUAAUUUUUAAGAUAAUUUCCUUUUUCAGUUUAAAGAUCAUGUUCUUCAUUAUCAUUUUUUUGUUAUAUAUUUUUUUGUGCAGUUUUUUUAUUAACAGAAUAAUUUUAAGUUUUAGUAGGAGAACUUUUGUAUAGCUACUCUGUCAAACAUUAAUUACAUUGGGUGCUCUAUAAUAAUUGACAGUAGAUAUGUAUUGUUUACAAUAGUACAUUGGGUGCUUUAUACGUAUGAUCAAGCCUUAGUUUUUUGGUACAAGCAUGUCCACUGCUUGCCUUUGCAUGUUGCACUCUGACUGCUCUUUAACCAUAUUUUUUAUCAACCAAAACAGAUAGUCUGAUACACAUCAUGUUGAUAGGCAUAUUUUUUAUCAAAUAGUCAACAAAAUAAAUAUAAAUUAACUGUCCACUUGCAACACAUCAAACCUUUUUAAAAAAAUUAACAUUCAUCCCCUCAACCUUUUUUGUAAUUUACAAUUGGUCAUAAUUGAGAAACCAAUAAAUAGAUUUAAUAUCAAUUUUAAAAAAUUAACAUUAAAUGAAAAUAGAAAAUAAUAAAACAAAAUUAAGAGAAACUAAAUUUUAAAUUUAUGUUACUAAUAUUUGGUGUUGUUUAUACCAUAUAAUCAUUAUUACACUAUUAAAAAAAUUUAUUACUCUUUUCAAAAUUUAUUGUCUAUUAUUUUAAAUAUCAUUCACUUAUAGUUACAAUAUUUUUUUAAUAAUUACUUUAUUAAAUUCUGUAAUUGAUACUACUGUAAAAACACUCUAGAAUUGACAACUAUUUAAAAAAACAACUAAAAUGAAAUGGAAACAAUAUAUAUUAUAAUAACUUACACUUUUCAUAUUAAUUAUCAUAUUUUUCAAUAUUUUAAUAUUUUAAUAUAUAUCGUUCAAUAUAUUGUAAAAAAAAUUAAUUGUUAACAAUUUUUGAAUCUCUUAUUCUUUUAAAUUUUAAUAUACCACCAUUUUUAUUUUUAUUUUUAUGAGACAAAACAA